GCUCCCCACCCCACCCUGAGUCCCUCCUUCCUCCAAGAAGAACAGUGCUCCAUGUGGAUAUCCCACCAGCCUUGGCCCAGGUUCCUCCCUGAAGAAAAGCUUCCCCAAACAUUCAGCAUACCUUCCCUGUUAUCUCACCCAACCCCUCAAAACCCAGAACAAAAUUAUGGGAGUGAAGAUGUUCCCGGGGCUGAGCCUGCCUUUCCUCUGCACCCAGACACUCAGUGGCCAAUUUCUACGUGAAAGUUGUUGUUCCAGCAGACAAAACCCAAGUGUGCCACAGACCACACCUGUAUAGUCAGUGCCUGGAUCACUCAGACUCUGCUUUGAAGCUUAUUGAGUUUCCCACAUCCACAUGCUCUUUCCUAAGAGACAUCUUCCUUCUGCGCCUAGACUGAGGACAAAGACUGGGACACCUCUGCUGUCGCAGGGAGGGCUCCAUAAAUACCAUGCUUAUGUAGUUUGAUCCCUGAUUCAUGGGCCCAUGACUGGCUAGCAAGGUCCAUACCCCACAGCUGUCCUCCCAGCCUAGCAUCACAGAGCAGGUAUGGAAACUGAAGGAAAACAGCAGCAUGUAGCACGCCAUUUCCCCAUGGGAGGGCACAGAUCAGGGAUGGUGCUCAGGGGUGGUUAUGUCUGGCACUGCCCAGACAGAACAAGGAAACAAAGUUGGUUCUUUAAUGACUGGUUACUGAACAUGGUGCACAUAGAUGUGUCAUGAAAUGACGCCAUUCUACUUUGUAAUUUCUUUUAAUUCAUUCGCUUGGUUUAUAGAGAAAGUAUCUGGAGCGGGGGAUGUAGAGCACUUGCUUAGCAGACAGGAAGUACUCACCACCAGUGUGGGGCAGGGAGAGAUAGAGAGGGAGAAAGAAUUACUCUGCAGUACUAGUGUAUCUUUAACACCCUAAAAACACUUGCUAGCCAUCCCUUUUAAGAAGCUAUCUUAGCAUCAGUACCUUGGCAGGCAACAAUAUCUCCAUAAGAUUACUGAAUAUUGUUUCUUGUAUUUAGUCUGACAGCAGCCUUAAAAUUUUGGCAAGAGACAGAGAUUUCCUAUUUCCAAUGAUGAUAAAGUUUCAUUUUUAAGCAAACUUAAUUGAGCUUCUUUACAGAGAAAUAGUGAAGAGUGCCACAGGUAGUAUGCUGAUGCCACAAAAAAAGAAUGUAAAGGCGUUAUUUCGGCGACAGGAGUUUGAUAGUAUGACAUAAGUGGUAUGAGAAGAAUGACAGAAUUUGGACUCAGAAGUGCCCCUAUUUUCAGGUGACCCCAGAUUCAUUGCUCACCCAGGCAGGCCCUGUGUGUGACAGGCUUGUCCCAAUCAAAUGUGGAAUGGGCAUCACAGUUAACUCCCAAACUUCCAUGGCAUACUGUUUGAUCUAAGAGUAGGCAGUUAGCUUAUCUUAUUUCCCCAGUGAUGACUGGCUUUGGCAGAAGGACGGGCACAUAUGACCUGAUUUACCAUUUGGGAGAAAAGGAAGGGCUUCUAUGUCAUGACUAGAAAAGUAGGAUUUCUGUUUCUCCUGUGAGUAAAAAUGUAUGUCACUCCAGUUGCUCCUGGCUUCCUUAGGGUGAGAGCAAAGCCUAAAACACCAUCAAAGCAAGCUGAAGAGCCCAGGGCCUUGCUACUGUGACUGAAUAUUUCACCCUUCCACACCCAGGUCCUGGCCUGCCUGUCUCCUUCCAGUUAUAAGAUAUGAUGUCAUUCCUUACUGGUUAAUCCAGCUUCAGGUGGGCUGUUCUCUUUCCGCUACAGUCUUAACGUUUGUGUCUCCCCCAAACUCAGAUGUUGAGACUUACUCACCAAUUUGAUGAUAUUAGGAGGCUGGGGCUUUGGGGGACGAUUGGGUCAUGAGGGUAGAGCCCUCAUGAGUAAGAUUAGUGCCCUUAUAAAUGGGGCUCCAGAGAGCUGCCUUGUUGCUUUAGCCACAUGAGGAUACAGUAAGAAAGCGCCAUCCACGGGCUGUGCAAUGAGCUCUCACCAGACACUACAUAUGCCAGGGCUUUGAUCUUGGACUUGCUAAGAUCGUUCAGAUCUGUGAUAAAUUAAUUUCUGUUGCUUCUAAGCCACUCGAUCUACAGCAACCCAAACAGACAAAGUUAACCACAGUUCAAACCCCUUGCUGAUCCUGAACCCUUGGAUGAGUCCCAGAUGUGCUGGAUUCUCUCCCCAAUUGUAAUUAACUACAGAAGUGGAAAGAACAGAGCAAAGGGAUCUAUGCCCCUGGCCAAGUGACCUUGCUAUCUUUACCAUUCAGCAGGAUUUCUGACUGACCAGGAAUACACCACACAAAAAGUUGGUGCACUCAGAUAACCCAAAGGGACAAUGACCAAUCUUCUUGCCAAUAGGUCCUAAUCUACUAGUACCUACCCCAGGCCAUCAUGAAACAGCACUGUCAUGAUCCCACCCAUGCUUAUAUCCCAGCUGGCCCUGCUGUGUUCCACUGUUGGGCCAACUUGGGGCUUCAUACAACUGCCUUCUAUUCUGUGUGUAGUAGUUCUGCCAUCUAAAACCUCCCAACAUGUCAUCAAUCUGUCCCUUCAUUGUUCUCUUCUUCAAACUAAAUCCUUUUGGUUCAUUCUCUUAAGUAUGAUUUUCUAACUUUUUAGCUGGUUUUUGGCUUCAGCCAAAUCCUCCAAUAGCCAAGGUCUGCCAUGAUGAAAACACCUUCAAUUACACGUGGUUGUAAUGAGGCCUGCAAAAGUCUGGGCAUGGGAAACCACACUCUGAGUGUACACUGGGUGCAGCACAAGGACAGAAUGCUGUUGCUGACUGGAGGAAGAACGUGAUUACACUGACCGUUCAUUCUAUUGAGCCGAACCGGUAUUUCAGUUACUGUUGUAAAACUGGCUGCUCCUGCAGGGCCACUGUAUUAGAAGCAGCCCCAGCCAGCGAAUGGGAACCUUCUGCUCUCAACUUAGCUCUUCUGCCUGCUACCUAUCUACAUCUGACCUUGUGCAAGUAAUUCUCCCUACCUGAAUCUUGGUAUCCUCCUAGAUCUGUGAUUUAGUAGCAAAAAUGAAAAGUCACCAACAGGCUAUAGGUUGAAUUGGGGAGUAUUCUGGGCACUUAGUCCAAGGUGGGGCAAGAAAAAACCUGAAAGGAUUGGAUUUUGUUUGAGUAUUUUUCCUUCCUGUCUUCCAGAAUUCCCACAGGCAGGUUCAUACUCCUCCUUUUCCAGGGAAGGUGCCAUGGGGACCACACAAAAUAUUUUUCCCUUUGAUGGCUCAAUAGGCUCUUUGCACCUGCUGUGUAUAGACCUUUUGACUCCCUUUAGAUGUACCAUCACCAAAACUUAUAGAGAUGGACUUUCUGGGGAGGGCCCUUCUCAGCUGUGGGAACAGUCCUAGGUAAAAAAGAAUGAGAAGCAGGACACUAACCUGAGAGUUGUGCUUGCCAUGCAUGGCAAAGUAGUCCAUGUUUUUAAGCAAGAUCUAAAAAGCCCUUCUAUGUGUUGGCCUUAUUUAACUCUCACAGCACAUCUGCAAGGGCAGGUCACAAAGAGAAUGCUCAGCUCGCAUACACACAUACAGCCAUAGCAGGUGUUCAAAUAUUGAAAUACUUCCAAGACAGUUGUUAGAUAGCUUCUUCCCUAAGUCCCGGUUCCCACUUCCUUGGCCCUGGAAAAUAAACAGUGUACCUGGGUACCGAGUGGGGCUCCUAGAACCCAACUCCAGUGCUUACCACAUUUAUUCUUGUCAGUGCCUUGUGAAGUACUUUGAAUAUCAGCUUUGAAGCAUAGUGCAUAUGAGAUUUAAUUAUAUAGCCCAGUGUCUAUAACAAGGUUUGGUUGCUUACCUGUAGGACUAAUGAUGGAUAAAUAAAAUGUAGUGGUAUGGAAUCUACAUGGGAGAUAAUUCAGCCAUAAAAGGAAGUACUGAUUCAUGCUACAAUGUGGAAGAUCCUUGACAAUAUUAUGUUAAAUGAAGGAAGACAGAUAUAAAAGGCUACAUUAGCCUGAUUCUAUUUAUAUAAAAUACCCAGGGCCAGGCAAAUCUGUAGAAACAAAAAGUGCAGGCAUGUUAGCCAGUAGCUUGGUGGCAGGGGUGGGG